rnacentral:rRNA from 2 species
GCUUGCUCCCGGAUGUUAGCGGCGGACGGGUGAGUAACACGUGGGUAACCUGCCUGUAAGACUGGGAUAACUCCGGGAAACCGGAGCUAAUACCGGAUAGUUCCUUGAACCGCAUGGUUCAAGGAUGAAAGACGGUUUCGGCUGUCACUUACAGAUGGACCCGCGGCGCAUUAGCUAGUUGGUGAGGUAACGGCUCACCAAGGCGACGAUGCGUAGCCGACCUGAGAGGGUGAUCGGCCACACUGGGACUGAGACACGGCCCAGACUCCUACGGGAGGCAGCAGUAGGGAAUCUUCCGCAAUGGACGAAAGUCUGACGGAGCAACGCCGCGUGAGUGAUGAAGGUUUUCGGAUCGUAAAGCUCUGUUGUUAGGGAAGAACAAGUGCAAGAGUAACUGCUUGCACCUUGACGGUACCUAACCAGAAAGCCACGGCUAACUACGUGCCAGCAGCCGCGGUAAUACGUAGGUGGCAAGCGUUGUCCGGAAUUAUUGGGCGUAAAGGGCUCGCAGGCGGUUUCUUAAGUCUGAUGUGAAAGCCCCCGGCUCAACCGGGGAGGGUCAUUGGAAACUGGGAAACUUGAGUGCAGAAGAGGAGAGUGGAAUUCCACGUGUAGCGGUGAAAUGCGUAGAGAUGUGGAGGAACACCAGUGGCGAAGGCGACUCUCUGGUCUGUAACUGACGCUGAGGAGCG